AUACUGCUGACCUUGGGACCGGGAGAGGCGGAGGGUACCCCUGGGGUAGGGGUGAAAUCCUAUAAUCCCAGGGGGACCGCCAGUGGCGAAGGCGCUCCGCUAGAACGGGUCCGACGGUGAGGGACGAAGGCCAGGGGAGCGAACCGGAUUAGAUACCCGGGUAGUCCUGGCUGUAAAGGAUGCGGGCUAGGUGUCGGGUGAGCUUCGAGCUCGCCCGGUGCCGAAGGGAAGCCGUUAAGCCCGCCGCCUGGGGAGUACGGCCGCAAGGCUGAAACUUAAAGGAAUUGGCGGGGGAGCACUACAAGGGGUGGAGCGUGCGGUUUAAUUGGAUUCAACGCCGGGAACCUCACCGGGGGCGACGGCAGGAUGAAGGCCAGGCUGAAGGUCUUGCCGGACACGCCGAGAGGAGGUGCAUGGCCGCCGUCAGCUCGUACCGUGAGGCGUCCACUUAAGUGUGGUAACGAGCGAGACCCGCGCCCCCAGUUGCCAGUCCUUCCCGCUGGGGAGGAGGCACUCUGGGGGGACCGCCGGCGAUAAGCCGGAGGAAGGAGCGGUCGACGGUAGGUCAGUAUGCCCCGAAACCCCCGGGCUACACGCGCGCUACAAUGAGCGGGACAAUGGGAUCCGACCCCGAAAGGGGAAGGGAAUCCCCUAAACCCGCUCCCAGUUCGGAUUGCGGGCUGCAACUCGCCCGCAUGAAGCUGGAAUCCCUAGUACCCGCGUGUCA
rnacentral:rRNA from 1 species